UCUGUAGUUUCAGCUACUCAGGAGGCUGAGGCAGGAGAAUUGCUUGAACCCAGGAGGCAGAGGCUGCAGUGAGCCGAGAGCGCACCACUGCACUCCAGCCUGAAUGACAGAGUGAGACUCCAUCUUAAAAAAAAAAAAAAAGAGAGAGAGAGACAGAUUAGGACACAGACACGCACAGAGGUAUGACCAUGUGAGCACACAGGGAGAAGACGCCAUCAACAAGCCAGGGAGAGAGGCUGCAGAAGAAACAAACCCUUCUGAUGCCUUGACCUUGGACUUCCAGCCUCCAGGACUAUGACAAAAUAAAUUCCUGCUGUUCAAGCCGCCCAGUCUGUGGUACUUUGUUACAGCAGCCCAAGCUGACUAAUAUACUGGAUUUUGGGGGUAGAAAGAUACUUACAGCAACUCUCCUCAAGGGUCGCCCAGCCUGCCUUCCACCCAAAUCCUGCCUAAAUCCUUCGGGUUGGCCAAAAUUAAGCUGCUUGCCUUGGUGUAACUUCAGCGCGGGCUAGUAGAAUUGCUGUGGACAGACAGGGAACUUAACCUCCUGGGUGCCAGUGGUCUCCUCGGCCAAGUGAGAGGCCGUGCUGUGCGGAGUGCCCUCCAGAGCCCCUGGAGUCUAAAGUUCUGUGACUUGCUAAGACUUUCCUUUAUGAUUGGAAAGCCCAUUAGGAAGCAGGCAGGUGCUGUUGGCAUAGCAACCACAAGCCGUCUUAUGUUCUUUCCAAAUUAAAAAUUUUCCAGCUUUAGAACUGAGGAGAGAAAGAUGUAAGAGCAGAGAUGAAAUUAAGUUAUUGAUGGAAGCGGUUGCCAUGGCAUUGUGCUGUCCUUGGAGUCUGCCAGCUGCCACUUGAUUUCUCCAUUUUUCGUGCAAACGAAGGAGUCCAAGAGAAGAUAAGGACCAGCCUCCCACAGUGAGGGAGAAAAACAAAACAUAUGUGUUCAUUAGAAAGAGUUGACUCAUGAUGGGAACCUAAACAAUAUUUUAAGAGUAGCAGCUGGGCGCAGUGGCUCACACUUGUAAUCCCAGCACUUUGGAAGGCUGAGGUGAGCAGAUCACGAGGUCAGGAGUUCAAGACCAGCCUGGCCAACAUGGUGAAACCCCAUCUCUACUAAAAAUACAAAAAUUAGCCGGGCUUGGUGGUGCAUGCCUGUAAUCCCAGCUACUCAGGAGGCUGAGGCAGGUGAGUCCCUUGAACCUAGGAGGCAGAGGUUGCAGUGAGCUGAGAUUGUGCCAUUGCACUCCAGCCUGGGCAACAAAGCCAGACUCCAUCUCAAAAAGCAAGCAAACAAACAAACAAAAACAGAGUAGCUAUACACCCAAUGUGCAGGCCUUCUCAAAACUUACGUGAAUCACCUGGGGAUUUUGUUAAAAUGUGGUUGCUAAAAUGGUAAGUCUGGGGUGUGGCCUGAGAUUCUGCAUUUUAGGCCGGGCACGGUAAUCCCGCCUGUAAUCCCAGCACUUUGGGAGGCCAAGGUGGGCAGAUCACUUGAGGUCAGUAGUUCGAGACCAGCCUGGCCAAUAUGACAAAGCCCCGCCUGUACUAAAGUACAAAAAAAUUAGCCAGGCAUGGUGCCACAUACCUGUGGUCUCCUCAGCUACUCGGGAGGCUGAGACAUGAGGAUUGCUUGAACCUGGGAGGCAAAGGUUGCAGUAAGUGGAGAUUGCGCCACUGCAUGCCAGCCUGGGUGGUGCAAUCUUGGCUCUGUCUUAAAAAAAAAAAAAGAUUCUGCAUUGUAUUGUAUUGUAUUAUUUAUUUAUUUUUGAGACAGGGUUUCACUCUGUUGCCCAGGCUGGAGUGCAGUGGCACAAUCACCGCUCACUGCAACCUUCGCCUCCCAGGCUCAAGUGAUCCUCCUGCCUCAGCCUCCUGAGUAGCUGGGACCACAGGUGUGCACCACCACACCUGGCUAUUUUUUUUUGCAUUUUUUGUAGAGAUGGGGUUUUGCCAUGUUGGCCAGGCUUUUCUCAAAUUCCUGGACUCAAGUGAUCCACCCGCCCAAAGUGCUGGGACUACAGAUGUGAGCCACUGUAUCCAGCCCAUUAUUUUAAAUUGUGGUAAAAUACACAUAGCAUAAAAUUUACCAUCUUAGACUUUUUUUUUUUUUUUUUUAAGGGAUGAAGUUUCAUUCUGUGGCCAGAGUGCAGAGGUGCAAUCACUGCUCACUGCAGCCUUGACCUCCCGGGCUCAAGCAAUCCUCCCAUCUCAGCCGCCCGGGUAGCUGGGACUACAGGUCCGUGCCACUAUGCCCAGCUAAUUUUUUAUUUUUAUUUUUGUAGAGAUGGGGUCUCCCUAUGUUGCCCAGGCUGGUCUCAAACUCCUGGGCUCAAGCAAUCGUCCUGCCUUGGCCUCCCAAAAUGCUGGGAUUAUAGGCAUGAGCCACUGCACCUGGCCCACGUUAAGCCUUUUUUAAGUGUACAGUUCAGCAGCGUUAAAUGUGUUCACACUGUGCACAUCCAAUCUCCAAAACACUUUCCAUAUGGCAAAAUGGAAACUGUAACUAUUAAAUAACAACUCCUCAUGUCCCCCUCCCCACAGAGAGUCUGCAUUUACGACCACGUGAUGACAAUGGUGCUGGUCUGUGGCUCACAUUUUAAGUGUCAGCUGUCCUUCGGAGCCUUUCUUGGUACCAGGGGCUGAGGUAGGUGCCAGGCAGGCCAGAGUGAACAGGCCAUACACUGUGCUUCCCAGGAACUUCCUGGCAAGUGGGGCAAGACACGGGGUGAUGAAACUUCAGAGGAGUGGACAGGCUACCUCAUUCACACGUGUGACUAGCGUUUGCAUGGCGCAGGGAGGAUGGAAGCAUGGAUGGUAAUGUGGAGACACUCAGUGACUGCCGCAUUUACUUGCUAAGUUUGCUGGACCAUUCCCUCAUGCUGGCAUGUGGGCAUUGAAGGCUACUCACCUUAUUUUUGCUAUUAUAAAUAAUGCUGGUAUAAACAUCUUUGUAUAUGUGGCUGUUUCCUCUUGAAUUUUUGUCAAGAGAAAAAAAAUCUCAGGAAUGGAAUGACGGAGCCAAACUCAUCUUCUUGUUAGCUCCGGUUCCAUCUUCCAGAUCCCACUGUAUUCCUCUACGGUGCUGUUAACAACGCUAAAGGGGAUGGAUUUCUUUAUACCUUUAUGGCAUUUGGCGGUUAUUUUUAUUUUAUUAUUAUUUUUUAUUUUUAGAGAUGGGGUGUCACUCUGUCACCCAGUCUGAAAUGCAGUGGCUUGAUCCUGGCUCACUGCAGCAUUGACAUCCUGGGUCAAGUGAUCCUCCUGCCUCAGCUUCCCAAGUAGCUAGGACUAUAGGUGUGUGCCACCAUGCCUGGCUAAUUUAAAACAAAAUUUUUUUUUUCUUUUUUUUUGUAGAACGGGGCUUGCCAUGUUGCCCAGGCUGGUUUUGAACUCCUGGUCUCAAGUGAUCCUCCUGCCUUGGCCUCCCAAAGUGCUGGACAUUUGGCUUUUAUAAGUUCUCUUUUGCUGAAAACCAAAGUAAGGUAUAUACAAAAUGGCACUUCAUCUUUAAUUUGCGUUUCCCUGUUUACCAACAGUGGAUGCUUUCCUCAUGUAAGCAGACAGUUUUCUUUCACUGACCAUCAGUUGGGGAGGAGGCAAGGUGUCUGUAGUUUCAUGAUUCUUUACAUGUUUUGGAAUGGACUUUUCUUAUUGGCCACUCACAACAGAUAUGUCCCCAGGCCCCCGGCCCUCUGUACUGUGGUCAUUGUUGGCAUAUGUGAAAUCAGAUACAAGAUAUUCCUCUAGUCCUCUGGUUUGUCCAAGACACUGGAUUAAUGGUUUCUCCAAGCACACCUAGUGAGCGAAUACCCUGACCUUCUGGAUUCAUCUGUUAGGAAACGCAUUGGGUAACAGGUAUGGGAAUGGGGGUGACUUCCAGUUUCAGUUCCAACAUGUGAAGUCAUCGCUCCUGCCCUUACAUCAAGAACAUAACUGAAUAAAGUGAAAAGUCAAUGGUUUUCUUAGAUCCAUCAGAGAACUGAGGCCAUAGGACAAGCCACCACCCCAAAAGCCAGAGAGACAGGCAAAGGCCAGAAAUCACAGUUUGCUGGAAGCAGACACCACCAGGGCCAGGAGCUGGGGGGAAGAUUUAAAGGACCCCUUAAAUGGCAACUUAGAUGAAUGGCCGGAUUUUGUAUGAGUUUGAGAGUUAAAAACUCAUUGGGGCUGGGCGCGGUGGCUCAUGCCUGUAAUGCCAGCACUUUGGGAGGCCAAGGCAGGUGGAUCACGAGGUCAGGAGAUCCAGACCAUCCUGGUUAACAUGGUGAAACCCCGUCUCUACUAAAAAUACAAAAAAAUUAGUUGGGCAUGGUGGCGGGAGCCUGUAGUCCCAGCCACUCCGGAGGCUGAGAGAGGAGAAUGGCGUGAACCCGGGAGGUGCAGCUUGCAGUGAGCCGAGAUAGCACCACUGCACUCCAGCCUGAGCGACAGAGCAAGAUUCUGUCUCAAAACAAAAACAAAAACAAAACUCAUUGCGGGGGCCAGGCGCCAUGGCUCACGCCAGUAAUCCCAGCAUUUUGGGAAGCUGAGGUGGGUGGAUCACUUGAGGUCAGGAGUUUGAGACCAGCCAGGCCAACAUGGUGAAACCCCGUUUCUACUGAAAAUACAAAAAUUAGCCGGGUGUGGUGGCAGGUGCCUGUAAUCCUAGUUACUUGGGAGGCUGAGGCAGGAGAACUGCUUGAACCCGGGAGGCGGAGGUUGCAGUGAGCCGAGAUUGUGCCACUGCACUGUGAUGGAGAGAGACUCCGUCUCAAAACAAAAACAAAAACACCCAACAACCUCAUGGGGAUCCAGUCUAAGGGGGACUCUCACACUUUUGUUGGUUUUACCUCCAAGGGGCCCCACCAGGUUCUCAUAGUGAAGAAUGGAGGGAAAUCCCUGGUGUUUGACCAGGGAGAAGGGAAAAGCAACCAUUUUGAAUUGUUCCUAGAGUGUUCUCAACAACAAAGACCAGCCAGCAGGAGAGAAGACCUCCCAGAGCCUUACCCAACACGGGGGAAGGGAUACACCCUCUGGUUCUUGCUGGCCCUUGUGACUUACCCAAGAGGGCAAAAAAAGCUGAGAUGCACCUGUGAAGGUCACAGCCCAGGGACACAGGCUUACUAAAAGACUGACAGCUAAUCAUGGGAUUCCAGAGCGCUUCCCCUCUGUCCACACCUUGGCACCCCAACUGCAAGGCUCCCGCAAAAUACAGAGGGUCACUGCUGAAAGAACCCAAGGCUCAGGCUCCACUUAAGAAAAAGUCUCCAGGGAAAAAACAAAGACAAUAGGGGAAAGAGAAACAAAGACACUGAAGAACAUUUUAGUCUCUGACAUCUACAGCAAAACACAGCCUGUUAGCCAGAAAAACAGAAAAACUUCACACUAAAGGCCUAUCCACCUCAGUGUUAUUACCCAAAAGAUCACAUCUUUCAACAAAAAAUUGUAAGGCAUGCUAAAAGAUAAGAAAAAAACACAGUUUGAAGAGACAAAGCAACUGACAGAGCCAGACUCAGAUGUCAGAGACUUCGGAAUGAUCAGACUGAGAAUUUAAAAUACCUAGGAUUAGUAUGCUAAGGGCGCUAAUGGAAAAAGUGGGACAGGCAAGAACAGAUGGGUGAUGUAAGCAGAAAAAUGGAAGCCUUAAGAGAGGAGCAGGGAUUUAAAAUGUUUAUGUAGAUCUGAGCUUCUAUCUUAUACCAUUCUCCUUCCCUCUCAAGAAGUUUUUUUUUUUUUUUUUUUUGAAACAGGGCCUCACUCUAUUACCCAGGCUGGAGUGCAGUGGUGCAAUCACGGCUCACUACAACCUCUGCCUCCAGGGCUCAAGUGAUCCUCCCGCCUCAGCCCCGAAGUAGCUAGGACUACAGGUGUGAGCCACCAUGCCCAAUUUUUGUAUUUUUUGUAGAGAUGGGGUUUCACAAUGUUGCCCAGGCUGGUAAAGAUCUUAUUUUAACAUUUCUUAUAAAGCAGUGCUACUGGCAACAAUUUCCCUCUGUUUUUGCUUGUCUAAUAAAGUAUUUAUAUUUUAGAGGCAGGGGCUUGCUCUGUGGCUUAGGGUGGAGUGCAGUGGUACGAUCCUAGCUCACUGCAACUUUGAACUCCUAGACUCAAGCAAUCCUCCCACCUUGGCCUCCCAAAGUGCUGGGAUUAUAGGAGUGAGCCACUGUGCCUGGCAUUUUGUUUUGUUUUGUUUCUGAGACAGAAUCUCACUUUGUCUCCCAGGCUAGAGUGCAAUGGCAUGAUCUUGGCUGACUGCAACCUCCGCCUCUGGGUUCUAGCGAUUCUCCUGCCUCAGCCUCUCAAGAAGCUGGGAUUACAGGUGUCCACCACCACACCUAGCUAAUUUUUGUAUUUUUAGUAGAGACGGGGUCUCACCAUGUUGGCCAGGAUGGUCUUGAACUCCUGACCUCAGGUGAUCCAUCCGCCUCGGCCUCCCAAAGUGCUGGGAUUACAAGUGUGAGGCACCGCACCUGGCCUUGUUUUGUUUUUGAGACAGGCUCUUCCUCUGUCACUCAAAUUGGAGUACAGUGGUGCCAUCAUAGCUCACUGCAGUCUUGAACUUCUAGACUCAAGUGAUCCUCCUGCCUCAGCCUCCUAAGUAGAUGGGACUACAGGGCUUGUGGAACCAAGCUGAGAUUUUUUUUUCCUUUUUCUUUUUUUUUUUGGUAGAGGCAGGUCUCACUUUGUUGCCCAGGCUGGUCUCAAACUGCUGGCCUCAAGAAAUCCUCCUGCCUUGGCCUCCCAAAGUGCUGGGAUUACAGGCGUGAACCACUAUGCCCAGCUAUUUUAUCUCCAUUAUGAAAAACAGUUUCAUUGGACACAAUAUACUAGGAUGGUGGUUUUUCUCUUUCAAUACUAUGUAUAAUCAGAGUGGUGGGAGGGGACACCCAAUUGUAGAGGGUGAACUUCUUGUUUUUCACCAUUAAGUAUGUUAGCUGUGGGUGUUUUGUAGAUGUUCUUUAUCAAGCUAAGAAAGUUCCUCUCUAUUCUAAUUUGCUGGGAGUUUUUACCAUGAAUGGAUGUCAGAUUUUGUUGCUGAGUCUGGUCUGAAGUUCCUGGGCUUAGGUGAUCCUCCUGUCUCAGCCUUCUGAGUAGCAGGGAGUACAGUUGCAAGCCACCAUGCCUGGCUUCUUUCUGAAUCUAUCUGAUCAUAUAUGAUUUUUCUUUUUUAGCCUGUUGAUGUGAUGAUCAUAGUUUAUUUAUUUAUUUAUUUUUUUGAGGCAGAGUCUCGCUUUGUCGCCUAGACUGGAGUGCAAUGGUGCCAUCUCGGCUCACUGCAACCUCCACCUCCUGGGUUCAAGUGAUUCUCUUGCCUCAGCCUCCCGAGUAGCUGGGAUUACAGGCGCGUGCCACCACGC
rnacentral:lncRNA from 10 species